UACCCGCAGCACGAGUGGUGGUCAUUAUUAUUGGGCCUAAAGCGUCCGUAGCUGGCGUGUUAGAUGCCUGGGUAAAUCGAUGCGCUCAACGUAUCGAAUUCCGGGUAGACCGGCACGCUCGAGACCGGGAGAGGUGUAGGGUACUCAGGGGGUAGGGGUAAAAUCCUGUAAUCCUCCGGGGACGACCAGUGGCGAAGGCGCUACACUAGAACGGCUCUGACAGUGAGGGACGAAGCCCUGGGGCGCAAACCGG
rnacentral:rRNA from 1 species